GGGGAUGUAGCUCAAAUGGUAGAGCGCGCGCUUAGCAUGCGCGAGGUACAGGGAUCGAUCUUCUCCA
rnacentral:tRNA from 1 species